AUAAUAAUUAGUUUUUUGAUUGAAAACUAGAAUGAAAGAUUGGAUAAGAAAUAAGCUUUUUUUUUUUAAUUUUAUUGAAUUUAAAUUUUUAGUUAAAAAGCUAAAAUAAUUUAAAAAGACGAGAAGACCCUAUAGAUUUUUAUUUAAUUUAAUAAAUUUAUUUAAUUAAAUUAAAUUUUAUUGGGGGGAUAGAAAAAUUUAAAAAACUUUUUAAUAUUUAAACAUUAAUGUAUGAAUUAUGAAAAAAAUUUUAAACUAUAAACUAAAAUUAUUUUAUAAAUAAAGAUUAAAAUACCUUAGGGAUAACAGCGUAAUUUUAAUUUUAAGAUCAUAUUUAAAUUAAAGAUUGC
rnacentral:rRNA from 1 species